rnacentral:sRNA from 1 species
CAACAUGGUGUCAAUCCAAUGUCUUCAGCAGUCCUGAAGGACCAAAGUGACAUGCAUUGCUCUUGGUCUCUGCUUAUGUCCUGGAGGAGGUAAUUGGAGAAGGACUCACAUCAUCUCAUCAUCUGUGCUUCUGAGCCAUCUCUGUCUUUGUUUGCACAGCUGCUGGCAGCAUGUGCAGCAAUCUCAGACAGCCUGCAGUGUAUGCAGUCAGUACAGCAGGUCUGCCUGUUCUGUGUCCUGUUGAGACGUGGGAGAUAAAGGAAAGCAAGCACAGGAAGGCUUGUUCUGGUGGAGACAACUGAUCAGCCUGCUGGGCCUGUGAGAAGGCUUUGAAAAAUUGACUGCCAUUUUUUCACCUCUUGAUGCUAAGCUCUGAUGCUUCACAGGAAGUCCUGCCCCAGUGUCCUUGGUCCUUCUUUAGGCUCAGAGAACCCCAACCAUGUUGUGACAUUGGUCCUGGGGCUAAGUCUGAGCUCAGAGAUGGGUUACUGUCAUGGUCUGAAUGGGGCUUAGGGAGGGAGGUUCUCAGUAGAUCUAUAGAGACUUGUAGACCCACUAGGUGUUUCAUUUUCACCCCGAGGCAACUUUACAGCCCAGCCCUACUUGCCUAUAGUGGGGAGGAGUGAAUUUUCCCUCAAGUUGCUUGGGUUCUAAUCCCCAGGUUUGGAGCCAAUUUGUUGCUCUAAUUUCCAAA